GACGAACGCUGGCGGCGUGCCUAAUACAUGCAAGUCGAACGCAUUUUCUUUCACCGUAGCUUGCUACACCGAAAGAAAAUGAGUGGCGAACGGGUGAGUAACACGUGGGUAACCUGCCCAUCAGCGGGGGAUAACACUUGGAAACAGGUGCUAAUACCGCAUAAUUCCAUUUACCGCAUGGUAGAUGGGUGAAAGGCGCUUUUGCGUCACUGAUGGAUGGACCCGCGGUGCAUUAGCUAGUUGGUGGGGUAACGGCCUACCAAGGCUGCGAUGCAUAGCCGACCUGAGAGGGUGAUCGGCCACACUGGGACUGAGACACGGCCCAGACUCCUACGGGAGGCAGCAGUAGGGAAUCUUCGGCAAUGGACGCAAGUCUGACCGAGCAACGCCGCGUGAGUGAAGAAGGUUUUCGGAUCGUAAAACUCUGUUGUAAGAGAAGAACAAGGAUGAGAGUGGAAAGUUCAUCCCUUGACGGUAUCUAACCAGAAAGCCACGGCUAACUACGUG
rnacentral:rRNA from 1 species